UACGUAGGGUGCGAGCGUUGUCCGGAAUUACUGGGCGUAAAGAGCUCGUAGGUGGUUUGUCGCGUUGUCCGUGAAAACUCACAACUCAAUUGUGGGCGUGCGGGCGAUACGGGCAGACUGGAGUACUGCAGGGGGAGACUGGAAUUCCUGGUGUAGCGGUGGAAUGCGCAGAUAUCAGGAAGAACACCCGUGGCGAAGGCGGCUCUCUGGGACGGUACUGACGCUGAGACGCGAAAGCGUGGGGGAGCGAACAGG
rnacentral:rRNA from 1 species